GAGGAAAAGCUGAUGCCUCUUCGUAAAGACAUUAUGAUGAUCUGGCUAGCCCAGAGGAGAGACAGCAAAGAUGGAAUAUUCUCAUAUGACAAAUCUGAUGCACAUGAUCCACAUGGGAGAGGUGACUACAAGCAUUUGCGCACAGCUGCGAAGUCGAGACAUUGUGUGCAGGCUGACUCAAAGCGUGGAGAUAUUUUCUCUGUUUGGAGAAAACUCAGAGGAGCCUGAGAUUGU
rnacentral:lncRNA from 1 species